CUGUUGAGAGUUAGAGAAGAAGCCAGUUUAGAUAGAUGAAGAGAGAAGUGCAAGAGUCAGAGUGCGCAGCGGAAGCUGUUGCAGUUCUGGAGACGUUGAGGUAUUGCUGGAGGUGUCUCCUAGUAAGGGUGAUUCGUUUUGAGAAGGAGAGGUAAGCUAGCUCGAAGAUACAUCGGACCCUUUGAAAUCCUGCAAAGAAUUGGGGAUGUAUCCUACCAGUUAGGUUUACCUGCUUCUUAGAGGAGAUCUAUUCGGUUUUCCUUGUUUCCUUGAUUCUGGAGUUGUGUCGGAUCCGAGUGAGGUUCUUUUGAACCAGAGGUGGAGAUCUCAGGGAAUCUCACCUGUUUAGAGCUG
rnacentral:lncRNA from 1 species